CAUGUCGAGGUCACCACUGUGUCAUACAUAUCUUUCGCCUUUUACUAAAGAUAUCUGAGUGGUGUCCUCACUAAGACAUAUUCACUAAUUUUUAGGCGGCGCUUUGCGCUGC
rnacentral:snRNA from 1 species